UACGAAGGGGGCUAGCGUUGCUCGGAAUCACUGGGCGUAAAGGGUGCGUAGGCGGGUUUUUAAGUCAGAGGUGAAAUCCUGGAGCUCAACUCCAGAACUGCCUUUGAUACUGAAAGUCUUGAGUAUGGGAGAGGUGAGUGGAACUGCGAGUGUAGAGGUGAAAUUCGUAGAUAUUCGCAAGAACACCAGUGGCGAAGGCGGCUCACUGGCCCAUUACUGACGCUGAGGCACGAAAGCGUGGGGGAGCGAACGGGG
rnacentral:rRNA from 1 species